rnacentral:rRNA from 1 species
AACGAACGCUGGCGGCAGGCUUAACACAUGCAAGUCGAGCGCCCCGCAAGGGGAGCGGCAGACGGGUGAGUAACGCGUGGGAAUCUACCCAUCUCUACGGAAUAACGCAUGGAAACGUGUGCUAAUACCGUAUACGUCCUUCGGGAGAAAGAUUUAUCGGAGAUGGACGAGCCCGCGUUGGAUUAGCUAGUUGGUGGGGUAAAGGCCUACCAAGGCGACGAUCCAUAGCUGGUCUGAGAGGAGGAUCAGCCACACUGGGACUGAGACACGGCCCAGACUCCUACGGGAGGCAGCAGUGGGGAAUAUUGGACAAUGGGCGCAAGCCUGAUCCAGCCAUGCCGCGUGAGUGAUGAAGGCCCUAGGGUUGUAAAGCUCCUUCACCGGUGAAGAUAAUGACGGUAACCGGAGAAGAAGCCCCGGCUAACUUCGUGCCAGCCGCCGCAGUAACAC